rnacentral:antisense_RNA from 1 species
UCGCACAUCUUGUUGUCUGAUUAUUGAUUUUUGGCGAAAUCAUAUAACAAGAUGCGUAUCUA